rnacentral:tRNA from 1 species
GGUGGCUCAGUGGUAGAGUGCUUGCCUUGCAUGCAUGAGGCCCACCUGGGUUCAAUUCCUCAGCACCA